rnacentral:rRNA from 1 species
GGAAUUGUUCACAAUGGGCGCAAGCCUGAUGACGCAACGCCGCGUGGAGGAUGAAGGUCUUCGGAUUGUAAACUCCUGUUGCUCGGGACGAAAUGCUCCAACCUAAUACGUUGGAGUUUGACGGUACCGAGUGAGGAACCCCCGGCUAACCCUGUGCCAGCAGCCGCGGUAAUACAGAGGGGGCAAGCGUUGUUCGGAAUUACUGGGCGUAAAGGGCGCGUAGGCGGCCUGUUAAGUCGAACGUGAAAUCCCCGGGCUCAACCCGGGAACUGCGUCCGAAACUGGCAGGCUCGAAUUCGGGAGAGGGAUGCGGAAUUCCAGGUGUAGCGGUGAAAUGCGUAGAUAUCUGGAGGAACAUCGGUGGCGAAGGCGGCAUCCUGGACCGAUAUUGACGCUGAGGCGCGAAAGCCAGGGGAGCAAA